rnacentral:rRNA from 1 species
AUUGAACGCUGGCGGAAUGCUUUACACAUGCAAGUCGAACGGCAGCACGGGGCAACCUGGUGGCGAGUGGCGAACGGGUGAGUAAUACAUCGGAACGUGCCCAAUCGUGGGGGAUAACGUAGCGAAAGUUACGCUAAUACCGCAUACGAUCUACGGAUGAAAGCGGGGGAUCGCAAGACCUCGCGCGAAUGGAGCGGCCGAUGUCAGAUUAGGUAGUUGGUGGGGUAAAGGCUCACCAAGCCGACGAUCUGUAGCUGGUCUGAGAGGACGACCAGCCACACUGGGACUGAGACACGGCCCAGACUCCUACGGGAGGCAGCAGUGGGGAAUUUUGGGACAAUGGGCGCAAGCCUGAUCCAGCCAUUCCGCGUGCAGGAUG